rnacentral:ncRNA from 1 species
AAAAGACUUAGUCCUAACCUUGCUGUUGGUUUUUACUAGGUAUAUACAUGCAAGUAUCCGCGCUCCGGUGCAGAAGCCCUGGACACCUUUGACCAAGUAGAUAGGAGCGGGCAUCAGGCACACCUUCAUUUGUAGCCCAAGACGCCUAGCAUUUGCCACACCCACACGGGUCCUCAGCAGUAAUUAGUCUUAAGCAAUGAGUGUAAACUUGACUUAGCCAUAGUAAAUUAGAGCCGGUAAAUCCUGUGCCAGCCACCGCGGUCAUACAGGAGGCUCAAAUCAACUUCACACACGGCGUAAAGCGUGGUCACAUGUUAUCCAAGUAACUAAGAUUAAAAGGCAACUGAGCUGUCAUAAGCCCAAGAUGUCCAUAAGGCCGACUAUUAAAGAAGAUCUUAGACUAACGAUUAAUUGAAAUCCACGAAAGCCAGGGCCCAAACUGGGAUUAGAUACCCCACUAUGCCUGGCCCUAAAUCUUGAUGCUCCAUCCUACUUGAGCAUCCGCCUGGGAACUACGAGCACAAACGCUUAAAACCCUAAGGACUUGGCGGUGCCUCAAACCCACCUAGAGGAGCCUGUUCUGUAAUCGAUGAUCCACGAUAUUACCUGACCAUCUCUUGCAAGAUCAGCCUAUAUACCGCCGUCGCCAGCCCACCCACCCUGAAGGCUCAACAGUGGGCGCAAUAGUCCUAACCGCACUAGUAAGACAGGUCAAGGUAUAGCCUAUGGGAUGGAAGCAAUGGGCUACAUUUUCUAGAAUAGAACAUUACGGCAAAGGGGCAUGAAACAGCCCCUCGAAGGCGGAUUUAGCAGUAAAGUGGGACAAUCGAACCCUCUUUAAGCCGGCUCUGAGGCACGUACAUACCGCCCGUCACCCUCCUCACAAGCGACCAACCCCCCCCCCAUACAUUAAUAAGUUACUCAGCUAAAGAGGAGGUAAGUCGUAACAAGGUAAGUGUACCGGAAGGUGCACUUAGAACACC